rnacentral:rRNA from 1 species
AUUGAACGCUGGCGGCAGGCUUAACACAUGCAAGUCGAGCGGGGUGAUGGUGCUUGCACUAUCACUUAGCGGCGGACGGGUGAGUAAUGCUUAGGAAUCUGCCUAUUAGUGGGGGACUACAUCUCGAAAGGGAUGCUAAUACCGCAUACGUCCUACGGGAGAAAGCAGGGGAUCACUUGUGACCUUGCGCUAAUAGAUGAGCCUAAGUCGGAUUGGCUAGUUGGUGGGGUAAAGGCCUACCAAGGCGACGAUCUGUAGCGGGUCUGAGAGGAUGAUCCGCCACACUGGGACUGAGACACGGCCCAGACUCCUACGGGAGGCAGCAGUGGGGAAUAUUGGACAAUGGGGGGAACCCUGAUCCAGCCAUGCCGCGUGUGUGAAGAAGGCCUUAUGGUUGUAAAGCACUUUAAGCGAGGAGGAGGCUCUUUUGGUUAAUACCCAAGAUGAGUGGACGUUACUCGCAGAAUAAGCACCGGCUAACUCUGUGCCAGCAGCCGCGGUAA